rnacentral:tRNA from 1 species
GGCCCCAUCGUCUAGUCUGGCCUAGGACGUCAGCUUCUCAAGCUGUAAACACGGGUUCGAAUCCCGUUGGGGCUACCA